rnacentral:rRNA from 1 species
UAAAGAAAGUCAAGUUAUUAUAACAAAAAAUAACUUUCAACAACGGAUCUCUUGGCUCUCGCAUCGAUGAAGAACGCAGCGAAAUGCGAUAAGUAAUGUGAAUUGCAGAAUUCAGUGAAUCAUCGAAUCUUUGAACGCAACUUGCGCUCUCUGGUAUUCCGGAGAGCAUGCCUGUUUGAGUGUCAUGAAAUCUCAACCAUUAGGGUUUCUUAAUGGCUUGGAUUUGGGUGUUGCCAGUCUCUGGCUCGCCUUAAAGGAGUUAGCGAGUUUAACAAUGUCGUCUGGCGUAAUAAGUUUCGCUGGUAAGACUUGUGAAGUUUGCUUCUAAUCGUCUUCGGACAAUUACUUUGACUCUGGCCUCAAAUCAGGUAGGACUACCCGCUGAACUUAAGCAUAUCAAUAAGCGGAGGA